UCACCUGAAAGUAGGGAUGUUAUAACGGGUUUCUUUAGCGGGUUCUUAAUGGGUAUUGAAAAUAAAUUAAUACCUAAUUAGACCCAUUUAGUGUACUGGGUUUUUAAUGGGUUAUCCGGCUAAGACCCAUUUAUUAUAUGGGGUUUAGCUAAAAUAAAUGAGGACCCUACUAACCCAUUUAAGUUUUUUUUUCUUUAAUCAAAAACGUUGUCGUUUAAUUUUUAUGUACGGGUUUUCUAAUCAUAUCAAAAAAAAAAAAUUUGUCUACUCUUUCUCUCCGCGGCGGAGACUCCGCCUAAUCUCAAUCUCUUCUACAAGCAUCAAAGGAUCAGUAAACGUUAAUGCUCUUCUUGUGUCGCUUUACUUCUUCAUCAUCACUGCAAGUUCCAGAUAAUAAUACAUGAAUGUGUUGUGAUUAUGAUAUGAUUUGCUUUGUUCCAUUGAUAUUAUUUGAUUAUAUAUUUGUGACGUGAUUGUGAUUUCCUUAUGUUUUGUGUUUGUGAUUGUGCUAGAAUCUAGAUUGAUUAAGAGAAUCUGUUUUUGUUCUUUUAGUUACAGCAUGGAUUAGUUAAUAGACAUGAAUGAAGAAGAUACUCUAGCUGAGAUAAAUUUAGAAGAUACACAACCACAAGCACAGCAAAGUGAAACUCAAGUAGGGGAAUCAACUCAAGCUCAACGCAAGAGACGUAAAACAUCGCCCGUUUGGGAAGACUUUGUGUCAGUGGGAGUAGAAGAAGAUGGCAAAGAAAGGGCCAAGUGUUAUGCAUUGCGGUACGAAGUUAGUGACACGUAGUGAAACGAAUCACAGCUUUGGGACUCAUCAUCUUCAAUGCCACUUGAAAACUUGUUCAAAGAAGCCUUUGAAGGAAGCUAAACCUAUAAAUAAAACAAGAAAGGUAUGAAACAAAUUAAAAAAAAAAAGAGUUAAAUGGGUCUAAAUGGGUCUUAAUGGGUCAAAGUAAAAUUUGUGGGUUUAAAUGGGGAGCCCUAAUAGACCUUAAAACUAAAUGAGUCUAAACGGGUUUGGGUUCUAAAUGGGGUGGGUUAUAAAUGGGGUGGGUCUAAAUGGGGUGGGUUUACCCAUUUUAACAUCCCUACCUGAAAGUGGGUAGGAAAGAAUUCAACAGAUACGUUAUUAGAAUUGCACAAGUGAUAAACAGAGAUAAGGUUUUUAUGAAGGUUAGGGACAUAAAGGAUAUCAUAAGGGUUAAAUGAGCGAGAGGAAGUUUUAAGAGAUGUUGAACCAGUAUGCAAGAUUGAGAGACCAGAGUCAGCAAUGGUGACCUCCUCUCCACAUGUGUACGGUUUAUGAAGGGCAAGGUUGCUCAGAUCAGUGGUGAGGUGAUGUGUAGCUCCACUGUCCAUGAUCCAGUUGUGAGGAUUGUAAGAAGACGCAGACGCCAUGUUUGCUUGUGGCUGCCAAGCGGUCGAAGCAGGAGCAUAGGAACGAGACUGAGAUGACCCGGCAGCAGUGUUUUGAAGUUGAGAGAAACGUCUAGCGCUGUGACCGUAAACACCGCAUAACUGGCAUUUGCCUUGAUAGCCAUGGUUGUUGUCAUUGCGCGAGGAGAACUGUUGUUGUUGUUGCAAAGUCUGAUCAUUCCUGUUGUUCCUGCUUUGAUUGUUGUUCUUGUUAGAACCUUGAAAGUUUCCGCGGUUACCAGUAUGAAGAGAGGAUCCACGGUAGUUAGCUACAUUAGCUAUUAUUGGAAGCACCGUCUGACGCCAGAGUACCUUGGAGCUUAACCUCGAAUUGAGAAGCUUCUCGUGAACCUCCGUGACUGAUGGUGUCGAAUCACGACUCUCAACCUGAUCAACCAGUUGCUUGUACUCCUCUUGGAAUCCUUCAAGAAUGUAUUUGAUCUGGUCCUCGAGUUCAUACGGUUUGCCCAAAAGCGCAAGUUGAUCAAAUCGAGUAGUGUAGCCUUGGAUGUACGCAUCGAUUGACAUCGUCCCUUUGGUCUAGUUUUUGAUUUGUUGACACAAUUGCUUGAUGUGAGCACGAGAAGGCUUCGCAUUCGUAGAAGAGAACGUGUCCCAGAUUUUAGCAGAGGUUAUGGUAGUGGAAGUAUCGGUUGAAUGGAGACGGUAAUAGCGCCGAGCAAAGCAUUGUAGAUCAGUCUGUCUUGUCUCUUCCACAAGAAGUAGUCCUGAUUCGCUGAGAUCACACCAUCCGUUGUUAUCAUGGGUGGAGGCAUGACAACUGAUCCAUCGAUGUAUCCCGUAAGAUCGUAGCUAUCGAGUAGGGCGUGAACCUGACGGCUCCACAUGAGGAAGUUGGAUGCUGUGAGCUUCGUAACGUUGGUCAUAUUAAGGUUGAGAAGGUUUGUGGUAUUGGAAACAAUGAUUGUUUCAGUGGAAGAGGCCGGAGAGUUCGACAUGAUUCAAAGAAUCAGUGAAAAGAAAAAUCGUGAGAAGAAGAAGAGUAGAAGUGGCGGCCAAGAGAGUUUUGAAAAAUUAGGGAUCUAUGGCUCUUGAUACCAUAAAGAGAAUAUGACUGAAUGGUUUGUAUUACUCAUAAGAUUACAGUAUAUAUACAUCGUACAUUAGGUAUUCUAAGUAUCUAGUAUUUACUGAGAGGUCCUUAUACUUAUAUCUUCUACAGGUGGAUACAUAUCAAAAUUCUCUUCAUCUUUCUUUCUCUUUUCUUUUUACCACAAAAGUUUGUUUUGGGUUUUGAUUGCUGAAUUUUGACUGCUUAUCAUCUUUUGUACUAGUGGAAAGAACUCUGAGUGAUCACCUAAAAAUCGUGACCUAAACACUUUGAGAGUGUGCAGAUUUUUAUUUGCUAACUCUUUUGUUAAGUUUUUUCAGGAUGUUUUGACUUCUCAAGAAAUCAAAAGCACAACAAGACGUUUAUUUUUCUUUUAAAACCGUGUUAGAAAAAGAGCAAAUAAUUUUUGGAAAUAAGAAACAGUUUGCUUCUAAUGGGUUUGAUUUGUGCAGAAA